CAGUCGAGGGGCAGCGGGGCGGCAGGCUUGCCUGCCGUUGCCGGCGACCGGCGCACGGGUGAGUAACACGUAUGCAACCUGCCCGUGGCAGGGGGAUAAGCGGGGGAAACCCCGUCUAAUACCGCGUAACGCGGCCAUGGGGCAUCCCCGGGCCGCCAAAGGGAGCAAUCCCGGCCACGGAUGGGCAUGCGGCGCAUUAGCUAGUCGGCGGGGUAACGGCCCACCGAGGCGACGAUGCGUAGGGGUUCUGAGAGGAAGGCCCCCCACACUGGUACUGAGACACGGACCAGACUCCUACGGGAGGCAGCAGUGAGGAAUAUUGGUCAAUGGGCGCGAGCCUGAACCAGCCAAGUCGCGUGAGGGAUGACGGCCCUACGGGUUGUAAACCUCUUUUGCCGGGGAGCAACGGGCGCCACGAGUGGCGCCACUGAGAGUACCCGGAGAAAAAGCAUCGGCUAACUCCGUGCCAGCAGCCGCGGUAAUACGGAGGAUGCGAGCGUUAUCCGGAUUUAUUGGGUUUAAAGGGUGCGUAGGCGGAUCGUUAAGUCAGUGGUCAAAUUGAGGGGCUCAACCCCUUCCCGCCAUUGAAACUGGCGCUCUUGAGUGGAAGAGAAGUAUGCGGAAUGCGUGGUGUAGCGGUGAAAUGCAUAGAUAUCACGCAGAACCCCGAUUGCGAAGGCAGCAUGCCGG
rnacentral:rRNA from 1 species